rnacentral:rRNA from 1 species
CUUCGGUUUGGGUGGCGGACGGGUGAGUAACGCGUAAAGAACUUGCCUCACAGUUAGGGACAACAUUUGGAAACGAAUGCUAAUACCUGAUAUUAUGAUUUUAGGGCAUCCUAAGAUUAUGAAAGCUAUAUACGCUGUGAGAGAGCUUUGCGUCCCAUUAGCUAGUUGGAGAGGUAACGGCUCACCAAGGCGAUGAUGGGUAGCCGGCCUGAGAGGGUGAACGGCCACAAGGGGACUGAGACACGGCCCUUACUCCUACGGGAGGCAGCAGUGGGGAAUAUUGGACAAUGGACCAAAAGUCUGAUCCAGCAAUUCUGUGUGCACGAUGACGUUUUUCGGAAUGUAAAGUGCUUUCAGUUGGGAAGAAAAAAAUGACGGUACCAACAGAAGAAGUGACGGCUAAACACGUGCCAGCAGCCGCGGUAAUACGUAUGUCACAAGCGUUAUCCGGAUUUAUUGAGCGUAAAGCGCGUCCUAGGUGGUUAUGUAAGUCUGAUGUGAAAAUGCAGGGCUCAACUCUGUAUUGCGUUGGAAACUGCAUGACUAGAGUACUGGAGAGGUAAGCGGAACUACAAGUGUAGAGGUGAAAUUCGUAGAUAUUUGUAGGAAUGCCGAUGGGGAAGCCAGCUUACUGGACCAGAUACUGACCCUAAAGCGCGAAAGCGUGGGUAGCAAACAGGGUUAGAUACCCUGGUAGUCCACGCCGUAAACGAUGAUUACUAGGUGUUGGGGGUCGAACC